GGGCUAUUACAGCUUUGGCAGCACAUAUACUAAAAUUGGAAUGAUACAGAGAAGAUUAGCAUGGCCCCUGAACAAGGAUGACACGCACGUUCCAUAAUUUUUU